rnacentral:rRNA from 1 species
UACAGAGGUCUCAAGCGUUGUUCGGAUUCAUUGGGCGUAAAGGGUGCGUAGGCGGCGCGGUAAGUCGGGUGUGAAAUCUCGGAGCUUAACUCCGAAACUGCAUUUGAUACUGCGGUGCUUGAGGACUGGAGAGGAGACUGGAAUUCAUGGUGUAGCAGUGAAAUGCGUAGAGAUCAUGAGGAAGACCAGUGGCGAAGGCGGGUCUCUGGACAGUACCUGACACUGAGACACGAAGGCCAGGGGAGCAAACGGG